CAGAUGACAAUGUUGAAGAAAAAGAUUAGAUUUUGUCCUCGUCUUCAAGAACGUUAGGGAUAGCUCAUCAUCAUCUCCCCCAGAGGUUAACCAAGAUCUCUCAAACCUCAUCUUCAACACUGAUUCCGCUGCCAUUGCCAUCAACUUACAGAGUCUCAAUUAAAGUAAAGAACAUAACAAGGAAAUCUCUACUAGAAUCAGAAAUUGCUGGUUGUUUUGUUCCACAAAGAAUUUCAGCCGACUCAUGGCUCAUCAUUAUCUCCACCAGUUUUGACCAAGAUCUCUUAGAUCCUUACCUUCAACAUUGAUUCUGCAUAUUUACGAAUAGAAAACCUCUGAAUUCUCAAAAGGCUACAAUCGCCAUCAAUCCACAACUGCAGCAACCGAAAAAUCAUGCAUUAAAGACAUCUUGUGAAAGAAAUGUUGAAUACCAGGCAUUGCAAUGUGAAAACUGAAAAGGCUCCAUCAACUUACCAUGGUGUUUUUUCAAGCAACUGUUGUCUUAUGUUGUCUCCUAAGGGUAGUACCAAACCAACUCCAUCAGAUGUCAAGUUUCUUUCUUAAUCUUCUUAUUUAAAGUUAUCCCAUGCUAAUUAUUUUCUUUUCUCUUGCUCUCAAAAUCCAGCAGCCAUGCAAUAGAGACAUCUACUGAAACAAAUGUUUAUCUUGGGUACCAUUGCAAUUUGAGUAGCUUCCAUCACUUCGCUGUUGAUGCUUGAGCAUGGACUAGCAUUGGAACAUAUCGUCAUUCAACAUCCAAUUGUUUCAUGAUAAGACGCCAAGCUCACUUGUAUUCGCAAAAACUACCAAAUUUGCAGUCUAAGUCCACACGGUUACAAUUUUCAAUAAUUGUGUUCUCCUACCUGUAAACUAUGUCUAUGGGGCAUCAGAGGAAAAUUGAAGAUAUCCCUUACAUGGGUGUGGCACUAGCCAGUCAGAGUGUGCUCGAUGUUCAUUGGCAUAAAGGAAAAGACCUGUUUCAGGAACUUAACUUUUACGCAGGUUCAAAGUGUCAUAGCAUAUUUUCAUUUAUGAAGAACAGAAGCAGAGAUAAUCCAAUAUAAUUCAUCAUGUUUUUCUAGAUACAAAAUCAGUAACACGGAGUUAUUGAUUGAACUCCGACUCUUCCACCAACUGGCAUGAUUAUAAUACACUAGAUGCUUAAUUACAUGAAGCAAAUGUCCUGUUUCAAGAACUUGAGUCUUUCUCAGGUUUGCAGUUUCCAAACAUAUGAUAAGUAAAGAACCAGGAGGCCAUGCAUAUAAUCUAGUAACUUGUUCUUAUCAGGUGAUGUGAAACAUGUACUAUCUCAUUCAUUUUCAAUGUUCACGGAACUCUGCCUAUUCGAGAGAAAGUUACAGGAAUCUCAAGUCACAAACUUCUCUAUAGUUCUUUUUUUUAGCUUGAUUAGCAGUGGUAGCUCAUGGUUUUUUAUCCCGGGACCCAAGCUAGAGCAGGGAUGAUGCUAUUCAACUAAAGAUAACUUACCUCCAAGUGGUAGUUGAAGUGCACAAAAAUAAAUGUCACAGCUAGUUCAGAGUAACUAGAAUGUGGCACGAGUUGAUGUUAGAGAUUUGGAAUGAAUUAAGUACCUGUAUUAUCAUCCCAGUCAUCUAAGUGGAGUUCAGAUGACAUGCCUUUCUCAUACCAUUGUGAAAGAGACUGUACCAUUGUACUCUUCUGAUCGAUAGCAAAAAAAUUCAGCCAUAAUAUUACCCUGAAUGUAGCCCAAAUCGGUGAACCAGGUAAAUCUUUUUUUUUUUUUUUUUUU